CUACGGGGGGCAGCAGUGGGGAAUAUUGCACAAUGGAGGAAACUCUGAUGCAGCAACGCCGCGUGGAGGAUGACACUUUUCGGAGCGUAAACUCCUUUUAUAUAGGAAGAAGAUGACGGUACUAUAUGAAUAAGCGCCGGCUAACUCCGUGCCAGCAGCCGCGGUAAUACGGAGGGCGCAAGCGUUACUCGGAAUCACUGGGCGUAAAGAGCGUGUAGGCGGAUUAAAAAGUCAGAAGUGAAAUCCUAUAGCUUAACUAUAGAACUGCUUCUGAAACUCUUAAUCUAGAAUAUGGGGAGGUAGAUGGAAUUUCUGGUGUAGGGGUAAAAUCCGUAGAGAUCAGAAGGAAUACCGAUUGCGAAGGCGAUCUACUAGAACGUUAUUGACGCUGAGACGCGAAAGCGUGGGGAGCAAACAGGAUUAGAUACCCUGGUAGUC
rnacentral:rRNA from 1 species